rnacentral:lncRNA from 1 species
GGGAUUUUCGUGUCUGUUUUAUGCACAUUAUUUUUAAUGAGAAAUCACGUUUCUGCAUUCAUAUCUGCUAACCUCCCACUUCUUUUCCUUGGUGUAGGACUAGCGGGCCUGAGCUCUGCUACAACAGUUUUCACCUGUUUAAAGUGUAAUGAUCUCAACUUUGGUCUGUUUUUAGAUGCUGAAGGACAGAGACUGUGAUGAGCACUAUCAGUGUGCAACGUGAACUGAUGGCAGGUAUUCAUAUCUGGUCCUCGUAGUCUGACAUAAAUAUGGAAGCCAUAAGAUGCAGUGUGACUUCUGGCCGUGGAUUCUUCUGUUCUUGAUGAAUAUUUCAGUGUUGAUAGAAACAUUUGUUUUCAUAGCAUGUCCAAGAGCUGUUCUGCAGUGGAGAAGUAAAUGUAAAGCGUGCCAUGGAUUAGCUAAUCUUCCAGAAGAACCCCAGCAUCUGCAUGCCAUGGCAAGUGAUCUGAGGAGCUCCAGGUGGGUGUGCUACAUGUAUAUCGAGUCGUCUCUCUAGACACUGUACUCUAUGAACUGCACGUGCAUUGUAGAAUUGUUUCCUUCCUG